GAUUAAGCCAUGCAUGUCUAAGUAUAAGCAAUUAUACGGCGAAACUGCGAAUGGCUCAUUAUAUAAGUUAUCGUUUAUUUGAUAGCACUUUACCACUUGGAUAACCGUGGUAAUUCUAGAGCUAAUACAUGCUAAAAAUCCCGACUUCGGAAGGGAUGUAUUUAUUAGAUUAAAAGCCAAUGCCCUCUGGGCUCUCUGGUGAAUCAUGAUAACUGCUCGAAUCGCAGGGCCUCGUGCCGGCGAUGGUUCGUUCAAAUUUCUUCCCUAUCAACUUUCGAUGUUUGGGUAUUGGCCAAACAUGGUUACAACGGGUAACGGAGGGUUAGGGCUCGACCCCGGAGAAGGAGCCUGAGAAACGGCUACUACAUCCAAGGAAGGCAGCAGGCGCGCAAAUUACCCAAUCCCGACACGGGGAGGUAGUGACAAUAAAUACUGAUACAGGGCUCUUUCGGGUCUUGUAAUUGGAAUGAGUACAAUUUAAAUCCCUUAACAAGGAACAAUUGGAGGGCAAGUCUGGUGCCAGCAGCCGCGGUAAUUCCAGCUCCAAUAGCGUAUAUUAAAGUUGUUGUGGUUAAAAAGCUCGUAGUUGACCCUUGGGCCUGGCUGGCCGGUCCGCCUCACCGCGUGUACUGGUCCGGCCGGGCCUUUCCCUCUGUGGAACCCCAUGCCCUUCACUGGGCGUGGCGGGGAAACAGGACUUUUACUUUGAGAAAAUUAGAGUGCUCCAGGCACGCCUAUGCUCGAAUACAUUAGCAUGGAAUAAUAGAAUAGGACGUGCGGUUCUAUUUUGUUGGUUUCUAGGACCGCCGUAAUGAUUAAUACGGACAGUCGGGGGCAUCAGUAUUCAAUUGUCAGAGGUGAAAUUCUUGGAUCUAUUGAAGACUAACUACUGCGAAAGCAUUUGCCAAGGAUGUUUUCAUUAAUCAAGAACGAAAGUUAGGGGGUCGAAGACGAUCAGAUACCGUCGUAGUCCUGACCGUAAACUAUGCCGACUAGGGAUCGGACGAUGUUAUUUUUUGACUCGUUCGGCACCUUACGAGAAAUCAAAGUGCUUGGGCUCCAGGGGGAGUAUGGUCGCAAGG
rnacentral:rRNA from 1 species